GCCUAGUUAAUCGUGCACUGGAUGACAAAUAAAAAAAAUGUACCUUUUUUUUGGUUCUAAGUUACUAUUUAUUGAACAAUUGACAGUUUUUGAUCUUAAAAUAAAAAUAAAAUUAAAGUUUAAAAAACUAGAAGCUCUGCUCAGGAUGGUGCAACAGUCCUUGAUGGCAUGGUAGAUAAUAUUCUUGAUCUGAAGCUUGUCCUCGUGAUUUGUGUGUGAGUGGGAGAGCCUUCUGAACUCUUGUGGAGAUUUUGAA
rnacentral:sRNA from 1 species